UACGUAGGCACCAAGCGUUGUCCGGAUUUAUUGGGCGUAAAGAGCUCGUAGGCGGCUUGUUGCGUCGACCGUGAAAACCCGCGGCUUAACCGUGGGCUUGCGGUCGAUACGGGCGGGCUGGAGUUCGGUAGGGGAGACUGGAAUUCCCGGUGUAGCGGUGAAAUGCGCAGAUAUCAGGAGGAACACCUGCGGCGAAGGCGGGUAGCUGGGCCAACACUGACGCUGAUGCGCGAAAGCUAGGGGAGCAAACGGG
rnacentral:rRNA from 1 species